rnacentral:tRNA from 1 species
GGGGCCGUCGGCUAGUGGGAGGCUGCCGGGUUCGGGUCCCGGUGACCGGGGUUCGAAUCCCCGCGGCCCCA